AUUCAAAUUUCGUACAAAACCAUAUAUAAAUAUGAAAUCCCAGUCAUCCCACUUUAAUUAAGUUCUCAGCUUAAAUUCGAGUCUGACGGCAUUGGCAACGACAGAUUAUUUGAGGAUAAUGGAUUCAAAUGACCAGAAAGUUAGGGUGUUGGCUUGUAGCGGAGGGUCGUGGACUACAGAAGAUGGAUAUACUAUGGAGUAUAGACCAUUAACGUUGACGAGACGGACCUUAGAACUACCAUUUGAUUCAACAUAUUCUCAAAUGAAGAGUUGUGUGGGAAAAAAGUUAAAGUUAUCCCCACAUUAUGAUUUUGGGAUGUCUUACCAACUCCCCCUUUCAUCUUCCGAUAAAAAUAAGCCUGUGGUUGUAGAGAUUCAUGAUGACGAGGACGUUGAGAUAUUUCUGGAUAUAGCGAAUAAAGCAUCACAUGGACUGCUUACAUUAUAUAUUUUUCGGGUUUGAUACCCGGAUUACUAAGUGAUUAAAUGUUAAUCUCCACGGUUACCUUGUAUGAUAUUCUAAAUAGCUCGUUCAAGUGAGCUCCCUUGAACGGAAAAGCUUAAUGCUAUCGAAUAAAGCUUGUCAUUAUGUUGUUAA